AAUUGAAAAAAAUAUAAAAAUAUUUAAUCAAAAAAUACCGAAGAAUGAGUAAUUGUAAAGUGUUUCAAUAUAAUAUGAAAGAAUAUUAAUAGAUAAUGAAAAUAUCAAAUAUAUUCACUUCAGUAAAAUUAUGUGCUUUCACAACGUCGUGAUCGGAGGCGGCGGCAGCGGUGGUUGUUGCAUUCCUAUCCCGAACCCAUGCGCUUGUUGCUGCCGUUGUUGCUUCGAGAUUUGCUGCAAGUUUCUGUGUUGCUUGCUCAUACUGGCCCUUAUCGUUGGAGGACUUCUCAUGCUGAUUGAGGCUUUGUGCCCACAAAACGAGAUAAAAAACGUUACAGCUAACACAAGUAUGUCUGAGCCUAUAGAGUAUUAUAGAGUUUAACGGACUGCGGUUUUUUGAGCUGGGGCAAUCUGUACGUGAGCAACGACGCUAUUAAAUCUGGGAUAUCGCUGUGCUGCUGUGUGAUACUGUGUGUUGUUGGUGUAAUUGUACUCGUCAUUUUGUUCGUGGCUGAUGUUUUAUAAACUCCAUCACAAUGGCGACCAGUAACAGCUGCCUUAAUUCCUUUUGGGAAGCCAAUUCUUGUAGCCUGGAUUCUGUGAAACAAAACCUAGCAUUAAUCUAUUGUUUCUCUAAUUAUGUUGAAAAAAGUUUAAACGUCUGUGAAGAUUUAAUGUGCUGUGACAUGCGGAUAAUAAAACAAACUUUAC